UAGAUGGAAGAUGCCGGUGGAAUUCUUCGGCGAAUCAGACGAUGAAUUUUGGCCUCCAAGGAAAUUGAGAAUUCGUGGUUUGUUUGUUGUUUACACGCUGAUCAAGACUGCAGCAUACAGAAACUAUACCGACGCACCAAGUGCAGUUCAGAUUCGUCAACGAGAUAACUAUAUUAAGCGAAAGGUCCCAUACUGACACAAUCGAAUCGUGACCACCAGUUACAACCUUUCAAAACAUAUGUUCAUCAGGCACUUUAAUGCAAUAAUUUUUACGUCGUUGAUAAGGUAAUAUUGGCCAAUGGAUAUCGUGCUGGUGUUGAACAUUUUUAGUGGAAACAUGGCCAUAUUCAUCUUAAAAGAUUAUGACCUACCUCCAAGAGCAGAUACGCUAUAAGAGGUGAACAAUUCGAGCAAAGGGUUUUGCAAGAUACCGUUGAAACUGAUUGAUGUAUGUAUUCAUUCAACAAUAAAAACGUUUUACAUAAUUA